rnacentral:rRNA from 1 species
GAUAGGUCCAAGGUGUAAGUGCAGUAAUGUAUUAAGCUAAUGGAUACUAAACUUUAUAUCU